GUCGUGAGAUGUUGGGUUAAGUCCCGCAACGAGCGCAACCCUUGUCCUAUGUUGCCAGCGGAUCAUGCCGGGGACUCGUAGGAGACUGCCGGGGUCAACUCGGAGGAAGGUGGGGACGACGUCAAGUCAUCAUGCCCCUUAUGUCCAGGGCUGCAAACAUGCUACAAUGGCCGGUACAAAGAGCUGCUAUCCCGCGAGGGUGAGCUAAUCUCAAAAAGCCGGUCUCAGUUCGGAUUGAAGUCUGCAACUCGACUUCAUGAAGCCGGAGUCGCUAGUAAUCCCGGAUCAGCAUUGCCGGGGUGAAUACGUUCCCGGGCCUUGUACACACCGCCCGUCACACCACGAAAGUCGGCAACACCCGAAGCCGGUGGCCCAACCCCUAGGGGAGGGAGCCGUCGAAGGUGGGGUCGGUGAUUGGGGUGAAGUCGUAACAAGGUAGCCGUACCGGAAGGUGCGGCUGGAUCACCUCCUUUCUAAGGAGUGCCUCCCAUCAGCCUGACCGCAUGGUCACGCAAGGAUGGGACAACUCCCUAGUUGGUGCACUGGUGGGUCGUCGUCCGUAGCGAUCGUCGUGGAGGCAAUGUCUCCGGCGAUGGCAACGUGGCGCCGGCUCUGUUCCUCUCUUCCGUUGUGAGGGAGCGAGUCGUCAGCGUCGAGCUCGAACGAGUUCCGCUGCUCCGGCCGCUCAACCCUCUCCGCCCCUUGAGAACUGCAGAGCGAGCACGAGCAUCUUGUAAGUUUUCCAAGCUACAAAGAGCCAACGGUGGAUGCCUUGGCGUCGAGAACCGAUGAAGGACGUGGGUGACUGCGAAAAGCCGCGAGGAGCCGUCGACCAGGCUUUGAUCCGCGGAUGU
rnacentral:sRNA from 1 species